GAUGAACGCUGGCGGCGUGCCUAAUACAUGCAAGUCGAGCGAACAGACGAGGAGCUUGCUCCUCUGACGUUAGCGGCGGACGGGUGAGUAACACGUGGAUAACCUACCUAUAAGACUGGGAUAACUUCGGGAAACCGGAGCUAAUACCGCAUAAUAUAUUGAACCGCAUGGUUCAAUAGUGAAAGACGGUUUUGCUGUCACUUAUAGAUGGAUCCGCGCCGCAUUAGCUAGUUGGUAAGGUAACGGCUUACCAAGGCAACGAUGCGUAGCUGACCUGAGAGGGUGAUCGGCCACACUGGAACUGAGACACGGUCCAGACUCCUACGGGAGGCAGCAGUAGGGAAUCUUCCGCAAUGGGCGAAAGCUUGACGGAGCAACGCCGCGUGAGUGAUGAAGGUCUUCGGAUCGUAAAGCUCUGUUAUUAGGGAAGAACAACUGUGUAAGUAACUAUGCACGUCUUGACGGUACCUAAUCAGAAAGCCACGGCUAACUACGUG
rnacentral:rRNA from 1 species